rnacentral:rRNA from 1 species
AGAGCGAACGCUGGCGGCAGGCUUAACACAUGCAAGUCGAGCGGGCGUAGCAAUACGUCAGCGGCAGACGGGUGAGUAACGCGUGGGAACAUACCUUUGGUUCGGAACAACACAGGGAAACUUGUGCUAAUACCGGAUAAGCCCUUACGGGGAAAGAUUUAUCGCCGAAAGAUUGGCCCGCGUCUGAUUAGCUAGUUGGUGAGGUAACGGCUCACCAAGGCGACGAUCAGUAGCUGGUCUGAGAGGAUGAUCAGCCACAUUGGGACUGAGACACGGCCCAAACUCCUACGGGAGGCAGCAGUGGGAAUAUUGGACAAUGGGCGCAAGCCUGAUCCAGCCAUGCCGCGUGAGUGAUGAAGGCCCUAGGGUUGUAAAGCUCUUUUGUGCGGGAAGAUAAUGACGGUACCGCAAGAAUAACGCCCGGACUAACUUCGUGCCAGCAGCCGC